rnacentral:rRNA from 1 species
UACGUAGGGGGCAAGCGUUGUCCGGAUUUAUUGGGCGUAAAGAGCGUGUAGGCGGCUUUACAGGUCCGUUGUGAAAACUCGAGGCUCAACCUCGAGACGCCGGUGGAAACCGUAAAGCUAGAGUCCGGAAGAGGAGAGUGGAAUUCCUGGUGUAGCGGUGAAAUGCGCAGAUAUCAGGAAGAACACCGGUGGCGAAGGCGCUCUGCUAGGCCGUAACUGACACUGAGGGACGAAAGCUAGGGGAGCGAAUGGG